UUAAGAACCAAUAUGAAUAUGGGCCAUGGGGGUGAGCAAUCUAGAAAAAUUACUCGGGCCAGUGAAACAUUGGACAAAAGCCCAAACCAUCAAAGCCCUCAUCCGGAUCCGCCAAAAGACCUCCAAGAACGGGUUUGACGUAAAUCAAACCUCAUUCUUCACGUUCGAUAAUUCGCGACCUCGACGGUACGCGCAGUAUUUUGCGAAUGGAUCCGGCCGUGGCGCAACGAAAUCGGCACAUUUCAAAGUCCCAGAAACAGAUUCUGAGAUUGACUCACCGAUUCAAAAUUCCAUUUGUUCGUCCUCGUGCGUGUGCGGAAUUGAAGUAAACAGAAUUGAUGCAAAGCAAAUGAAACUUACCGAUGUGAAGUUUCAACGCGAAGAUUCCUAAGUUCUAAUCUUCUUCUUCAGUCAUGCUCCGUUGUUGUCGUUCGUCGGUUCCGUCACGUUGUCGAAUCAUUAUGGUGUGCGGUGAAGAUGUGAUGAAAACGUUAAUGCGUCGCAAUUGAGAAAUCCCUGGUAGUUUCUGGGAUUUUAUGCCGUUGCCGUUUGAUGCUUCGGACUGUUGGAUCGGUUUUGGAUUGCAGCUGUUGGAGUAUUGCUGCAGUGUGGCUGCGGUUUCGUUGCAUUACCGACAGUGGUGUUGUGAGUUUGGCGUGAACGCUAUGGCAGCAACUUUCUCCACCGUGUUCUGUUUUCACCUUGCAGCUUUUUUUUUUCAAUUGCAUUUAUUUUCUUCAUUAUUUUUGUCUCAUCUGUUGUUAUGAAUCAAUGCUUGAGUUUUAUAUUAUGUACAUAUGCUGCUGGUUCGCCAUUUGGAUUACCGCACAUGUACUUCGCCUCGUGUUUCUCCUUUUCCUUUUUCCUUAUGGUAUUGUAAUAAUAGAUAUGGAUUUAUGGGUUGUAAUUAAAUUGGAUAUUAUUAUGAAAAUGGGUUAUUGGUUUAUUGAAAAGUUAGGUUUUAAAUUAUUAA